rnacentral:rRNA from 1 species
AUUGAACGCUGGCGGCAGGCCUAACACAUGCAAGUCGAACGAGUGGCGGACGGGUGAGUAACGUCUGGGAAACUGCCCGAUGGAGGGGGAUAACUACUGGAAACGGUAGCUAAUACCGCAUACCAUCGGAUGUGCCCAGAUGGGAUUAGCUAGCAGGUGGGGUAAAGGCUCACCUAGGCGACGAUCCCUAGCUGGUCUGAGAGGAUGACCAGCCACACUGAAACUGAGACGCGGUCCAGAGUCCUACGGGAGGAAGCAGAAGGGAAUAUUGCGUAAUGGACGCAAGCCUGACGCAGCCAAGCCAAGUGUAUGAAGAAGGCCUUCGGGUAGUAAAACUCUUUUGACAGAGAGGCGUUACCCGCAAAGAAAGCACCGGCUAACUCCGUGCCAGCAGCCGCGGUAAUAC